CCGCGGGAUUUGAUUAAGCCAUGNNUUAACACGUGGAUAACCUGCCCUUGGGACCGGGAUAACCCCGGGAAACUGGGGAUAAACCUGGAUAGGUGAUGCUGCCUGGAAUGGUUCUUCACCGAAACACCUUCGGGUGCCCAAGGAUGGGUCUGCGGCCGAUUAUGUUGUUGGUAGGGUAACGGCCUACCAAGCCGAUCAUCGGUACGGGUUGUGAGAGCAAGAGCCCGGACAUGGAACCUGAGACAAAGUUCCAGGCCCUACGGGGCGCNCNNCGCGCGAAACCUCCGCAAUGCACGCAAGUGCGACGGGGGAACCCCAAGUGCCACUCUUAACGGGGUGGCUUUUCAGAAGUGUAAAAAGCUUCUGGAAUAAGGGCUGGGCAAGACCGGUGCCAGCCGCCGCGGUAACACCGGCAGCUCAAGUGGUAGCCGCUUUUAUUGGGCCUAAAGCGUCCGUAGCCGGUCUGAUAAUUCUCUGGUGAAAUCCCACAGCUUAACUGUGGGAAUUGCUGGAGAUACUAUCAUGACUCGAGGUCGGGAGAGGCUGGAGGUACUCCCAGGGUAGGGGUGAAAUCCUGUAAUCCUGGGAGGACCACCUGUGGCGAAGGCGUCCAGCUGGAACGAACCUGACGGUGAGGGACGAAAGCCAGGGGCGCGAACCGGAUUAGAUACCCGGGUAGUCCUGGCCGUAAACGAUGUGGACUUGGUGUUGGGAUGGCUUCGAGCUGCCCCAGUGCCGAAGGGAAGCUGUUAAGUCCACCGCCUGGGAAGUACGGCCGCAAGGCUGAAACUUAAAGGAAUUGGCGGGGGAGCA
rnacentral:rRNA from 1 species